rnacentral:sRNA from 1 species
CCGGUGACCAUCACUGGGGCCAUCUGUGAGGAGUGCGGGAAGCAGAUUGGAGGUGGGGACAUCGCAGUGUUUGCCAGCCGUGCAGGCCUGGGUGCCUGCUGGCACCCACAGUGCUUCGUGUGCACCACGUGCCAGGAACUGCUGGUUGACCUCAUCUACUUCUACCAUGCUGGCAAGGUCUACUGCGGGCGUCACCAUGCCGAAUGCCUGCGUCCACGCUGCCAAGCCUGUGACGAGGUUUGGGCCUCCCUGCCCAGGGGUGGGAGUGGAGGGUGGGCAGGGCCAGGAGCAGGCUCAUCUGACAGCCACAGAUGGCCUGCACCCUCCAGAUCAUCUUCUCCCCUGAGUGCACGGAGGCUGAGGGCCGCCACUGGCACAUGGAUCACUUCUGCUGCUUUGAGUGUGAAGCUUCGCUAGGAGGGCAGCGCUAUGUCAUGCGUCAGAGCCGCCCCCACUGCUGCGCCUGCUAUGAGGCCCGCCAUGCGGAGUACUGUGAUGGCUGUGGGGAGCACAUCGGCCUGGACCAAGGCCAGAUGGCUUACGAGGGCCAGCACUGGCAUGCCUCAGACCGUUGCUUCUGCU